rnacentral:rRNA from 1 species
UACGUAGGGGGCAAGCGUUGUCCGGAAUCAUUGGGCGUAAGAGCGUGUAGGCGGCUUGGUAAGUCCGCUGUGAAAGUCCAGGGCUCAACCCUGGAAUGCCGGUGGAAACUGUCAAGCUCGAGUCCGGGAAGAGGCGAGUGGAAUUCCUGGUGUAGCGGUGAAAUGCGCAGAUAUCGGGAAAGAACACCCGUGGCGAAGGCGGCAACUCUGGGACGGUAC